UUAACAUAACACUCAACAAGAUCCAUAUGCCCGAGUGGGCAUACACCGAAAACAAAACAAAAUCAAGUGCUAGCGGAAAACAAAUAAAUCCCUAAAUUAAUUCAUAUCCUUGGAUCCCAUUCAUGUGUGAAUCCCUCGGUCCAGUCCAUCCUAUGCUAUCGCUUAUCCUGAAAAAAUAUCAUUCGUGGUAAGUUUCAAAACUUAGUACGUGGAUAUCUAUUAAAUCUAUUAGUUCAUAAAUUCUUCCUUUUCCUUUACAUGGAUCAUCGGUUAACCCUCCCCAUGCCGUCAAACCCCGUCGGGUCAUAUAGCCUCGUCAGGCCCGUUAAGUUCCAUUCGUUCCUUGUAUCGUCAAAUCCCUAAGGAUCCGUAAAUUCGUAUAAUGGCAUAAAAGAAAAUUGGGAGAUCGCAUGGUCUAAUAAAAACCCAAAAUGCACAAAAAAAACCAAAGGUGAUGUAAAACCUUAAAUAAUAAAAUAGUCAGACCCACCUAUCGAUUUUAUUGAUUAAAAUCGAUUCGAUGAGCGUCCCAUGUAGGUGUCCGAGCCUUAAGCAAGUGCUUCUAUAGCCCUAGGGCAGCGUGAAUCCUGAACUUGGGAUCUUAUGGAGUAAAAUCCGCGAUUUUGGUCCCGUGUUCUUAAGGAUUCGUUGCUGUCCAGCAGCUCUUAUGUGCCUGAAAUUAACAUGGAAACUAGAGCAUCAAACAUGCAUAACCUAGGAGAAAAGGAACUUGCAACUUCGUUGCUGUCCAGCAGCGUUUGUGCGCCUGAAAACAACACAAGAUGGAUUAUAAAACCAACAUCCAUCCGGAAUAAAGACUAGCAACUACGUUGCUGUUCAGUAGCAUUUAUGCGCCUGAAUUAAAACAGAAAUAGCGACGAAAAUCCGCAAUAAUCAGAAAUAAAAACUUGUAAAUUCGCUGCUGUCCAGCCACAUUUAUGCGUAUGAAAACAGCAUGAAAAUAGAGCAUAGGCCAGCAUCAAUCAGGAAUAAAGACAAACAAUUCUGUUACUGUCCAGCAGCAUUUAUGCACCUGAUUCAAACCAGAAAGCAGAGACGAAAACUCGCAAUAAUCCGGAAUAAAAUUUAUCAAGUCAUGGCUGUCCAGCCGUAUUUAUGCGCUUGGAAUCAGCACUAAAACAGAGCAUAAAACCAACAUCAAACGAGAAUAAAGACUUGCAACUCCGUUACUUUCCAUCAACAUUUAUGCGCCCGAAUCAAAACAAAAAUAGAGUAACACCGUAAUAAAACACUAGCGAAAAACUAAAAAUCGGGAAUGAAGACUAGCAUUGAAUAUUGUGAAGAUCCUCUUCACCCCUAAGCCUAGGAGUGUUAACAUGACUACAAUUAUUAAACCGUGGAACACCAAAGACUAGCAUAACAACAACAAAAACGUUACCUUCUUGCACCAUUUCACCUCAUCUCUAUAACAUGACCUUUCAACUACAUAUACUACUAAAAGAAUCUUAUACCCACGUACCUUGAUCACUUCUUUAACCUUUUCUCUUCCCCUUCCAAGCCCUAGCCGAGAUCCUUCCCUUCCUCCUCCUUCAAUUUGCGUUUCCCUCUUCUUUUUCUUUUUCCCUCUUCUCUUCCCCCAAUGUAUUCUCUUAAAUCCUAAUUCCUCUCCUCCAACCGUUCCCCCUCUUUCCUUUUUCUCCUCCUCAAUUACUUCUAAAAAUACAGAAUAUUCUCCCCUUUUUAUUUGACUCAAUUGCCCCUAAUUCAAAAUAUUUAUAUUCUGAAUUUUCUUUGACUUAAUUGUCCCCAAUUUCAAAUCCUAUUUCCAAAUUUCAAAUCCUAUUUCCAAAUUUCAAAUUUAAAGUUUCAAAUUCCCAUUGACUAAAUUACCCCUAAUUUGAAAUCCUAUUUAUUUUCUUGUUUAAUUAACCUUAACCCCUAGUCGACUAGCAUACUUGACUAGCCUAAUUGAUCUUAACCCAACAGGUUAGACCGAGUUGCCUUAUUUUUUGUUAAUUUUUUCCCCAAGGCUGCUCCUGUCGUUAGGGUUUCCUUUUCCUAUUAAGACCCCAAUUUUCAGAAUAUUACAUUCUUUCCCCCUAAAACAAGAAUUUCGUCCUCGAAAUAUUAUUAUGUAAUUGACGUAC
rnacentral:lncRNA from 1 species